rnacentral:rRNA from 1 species
GACGAACGCUGGCGGCGUGCUUAACACAUGCAAGUCGAACGGAAAGGCCCUGCUUUUGUGGGGUGCUCGAGUGGCGAACGGGUGAGUAACACGUGAGUAACCUGCCCUUGACUUUGGGAUAACUUCAGGAAACUGGGGCUAAUACCGGAUAGGAGCUCCUGCUGCAUGGUGGGGGUUGGAAAGUUUCGGCGGUUGGGGAUGGACUCGCGGCUUAUCAGCUUGUUGGUGGGGUAGUGGCUUACCAAGGCUUUGACGGGUAGCCGGCCUGAGGGGGUGACCGGCCAAAUUGGGAAUGAGAUACGGCCCAGACUCCAACGGGAGGCAGCAGUGGGGAAUAUUGCACAAUGGGCGGAAGCCUGAUGAAGAAACGCCGCGUGCGGGAUGACGGCCUUCGGGUUGUAAACAGAUUUCGCCUGUGACGAAGCGUGAGUGACGGUAAUGGGUAAAGAAGCACCGGCUAACUACGUG